GACGAACGCUGGCGGCGUGCCUAAUACAUGCAAGUUGAGCGCUGAAGGUUGGUACUUGUACCAACUGGAUGAGCAGCGAACGGGUGAGUAACGCGUGGGGAAUCUGCCUUUGAGCGGGGGACAACAUUUGGAAACGAAUGCUAAUACCGCAUAAAAACUUUAAACACAAGUUUUAAGUUUGAAAGAUGCAAUUGCAUCACUCAAAGAUGAUCCCGCGUUGUAUUAGCUAGUUGGUGAGGUAAAGGCUCACCAAGGCGAUGAUACAUAGCCGACCUGAGAGGGUGAUCGGCCACAUUGGGACUGAGACACGGCCCAAACUCCUACGGGAGGCAGCAGUAGGGAAUCUUCGGCAAUGGACGGAAGUCUGACCGAGCAACGCCGCGUGAGUGAAGAAGGUUUUCGGAUCGUAAAACUCUGUUGGUAGAGAAGAACGUUGGUGAGAGUGGAAAGCUCAUCAAGUGACGGUAACUACCCAGAAAGGGACGGCUAACUACGU
rnacentral:rRNA from 1 species